rnacentral:misc_RNA from 1 species
GAUGAAGAACGUAGCGAAAUGCGAUAAGUAAUGUGAAUUGCAGAAUUCCGUGAAUCAUCGAAUCUUUGAACGCACAUUGCGCCCCCUGGUAUUCCGGGGGGCAUGCCUGUCCGAGCGUCAUUGCAACCCUCAAGCGCGGCUUGUGUGUUGGGCUUCGUCCCCCCGUGGACGUGCCCGAAAGGCAGUGGCGGCGUCCCGAAUAGUGCCCGAGCGUAUGGGAACUCUCUUCCGCUCGAACCGGCCCAUUCGGCGCUGGUCGAACCCCAAUUUUUUUUUACCGGUUGACCUCGGAUCAGGUAGGGAUACCCGCUGAACUUAAGCAUAUCAAUAAGCGGAGGA